rnacentral:rRNA from 1 species
AGAAUCAACGCUGGCGGCGUGCCUAACACAUGCAAGUCGAACGAGAAAGUGGAGCAAUCCAUGAGUAAAGUGGCGACCGGGUGAGUAACACGUGACUAACCUACCUUCGAGUGGGGGAUAACCAAGGGAAACCUGGGCUAAUACCGCAUAACAUCUUUGGAGUGGAAAUUCUGGAGAUCAAAGGGGCAAUUCGCUUGAAGAGGGGGUCGCGGCUGAUUAGCUAGUUGGCGGGGUAACGGCCCACCAAGGCGAAGAUCGGUAUCCGGCCUGAGAGGGCGCACGGACACACUGGAACUGAAACACGGUCCAGACUCCUACGGGAGGCAGCAGUGGGGAAUUUUACGCAAUGGGGGAAACCCUGACGCAGCAACGCCGCGUGGAGGAUGAAAUCCCUUGGGAUGUAAACUCCUUUCGAUCGGGACGAUUAUGACGGUACCGGAAGAAGAAGCCCCGGCUAACUUCGUGCCAGCAGCCGCGGUAAUACGAGGGGGGCAAGCGUUGUUCGGAAUUAUUGGGCGUAAAGGGAGUGUAGGCGGUUUGGUAAGUUGUGUGUGAAAUCUUCGGGCUCAACCCGAAGUCUGCACACAAAACUGCCGGGCUUGAGGGUGGGAGAGGUGAGUGGAAUUUCCGGUGCAGCGGUGAAAUGCGUAGAUAUCGGAAGGAACACCUGUGGCGAAAGCGGCUCACUGGACCAUUUCUGACGCUGAAACUCGAAAGCUAGGGGAGCAAACAGGAUUAGAUACCCUGGUAGUCCUAGCCCUAAACGAUGACUGUUUGGUGUGGCGGGUACCCAAUCCCGCCGUGCCGUAGCUAACGCGUUAAACAGUCCGCCUGGGGAGUACGGUCGCAAGGCUGA